AAGUCCCGCAACGAGCGNAACCCCUAUCCUUAGUUGCCAGCGAUUCGGUCGGGAACUCUAAGGAGACUGCCGGUGAUAAACCGGAGGAAGUGGGGACGACGUCAAGUCAUCAUGGCCCUUACGUGUAGGGCUACACACGUGCUACAAUGGCGCAUACAGAGUGCUGCAAGCUCGCGAGAGUUAGCGAAUCACUUAAAGUGCGUCGUAGUCCGGAUUGGAGUCUGCAACUCGACUCCAUGAAGUCGGAAUCGCUAGUAAUCGCGGAUCAGAAUGCCGCGGUGAAUACGUUCCCGGCGUUCG
rnacentral:rRNA from 1 species